GGGAACGUACCUUUUGGUUCGGAACAACACAGGGAAACUUGUGCUAAUACCGGAUAAGCCCUUACGGGGAAAGAUUUAUCGCCGAAAGAUCGGCCCGCGUCUGAUUAGCUAGUUGGUAGGGUAACGGCCUACCAAGGCGACGAUCAGUAGCUGGUCUGAGAGGAUGAUCAGCCACAUUGGGACUGAGACACGGCCCAAACUCCUACGGGAGGCAGCAGUGGGGAAUAUUGGACAAUGGGGGCAACCCCGAUCCAGCCAUGCCGCGUGAGUGAUGAAGGCCCUAGGGUUGUAAAGCUCUUUUGUGCGGGAAGAUAAUGACGGUACCGCAAGAAUAAGCCCCGGCUAACUUCGUGCCAGCAGCCGCGGUAAUACGAAGGGGGCUAGCGUUGCUCGGAAUCACUGGGCGUAAAGGGUGCGUAGGCGGGUCUUUAAGUCAGGGGUGAAAUCCUGGAGCUCAACUCCAGAACUGCCUUUGAUACUGAAGAUCUUGAGUUCGGGAGAGGUGAGUGGAACUGCGAGU
rnacentral:rRNA from 1 species